AUUGAACGCUGGCGGCAGGCCUAACACAUGCAAGUCGAACGAGUGGCGGACGGGUGAGUAAUGUCUGGGAAACUGCCCGAUGGAGGGGGAUAACUACUGGAAACGGUAGCUAAUACCGCAUACCAUCGGAUGUGCCCAGAUGGGAUUAGCUAGUAGGUGGGGUAAAGGCUCACCUAGGCGACGAUCCCUAGCUGGUCUGAGAGGAGGACCAGCAACACUGGAACUGAGCCACGGUCCAGACUCCUACGGGAGGAAGCAGUGGGGAAUAUUGGACAAUGGGCGAAAGCCUGAUGCAGCCAGCCCGCGUGUAUGAAGAAGGCCUUCGGGUUGUAAAGUACUUUCGGCAGGGAGGCGUUACCCGCAGAAGAAGCACCGGCUAACUCCGUGCCAGCAGCCGCGGUAAUAC
rnacentral:rRNA from 1 species